UACGAAGGGGGCUAGCGUUGCUCGGAAUCACUGGGCGUAAAGGGUGCGUAGGCGGGUUUUUAAGUCAGAGGUGAAAUCCUGGAGCUCAACUCCAGAACUGCCUUUGAUACUGAAGAUCUUGAGUUCGGGAGAGGUGAGUGGAACUGCGAGUGUAGAGGUGAAAUUCGUAGAUAUUCGCAAGAACACCAGUGGCGAAGGCGGCUCACUGGCCCGAUACUGACGCUGAGGCACGAAAGCGUGGGGAGCAAACGGG
rnacentral:rRNA from 1 species